CUCGGAGACGAGAAGGCUUGGUAGUCGACUAAGCGAUAGGGAUCUAUCCUAACACCUGGCCCCAACGCUCGAGUAUGAUUGCGUAGUUAGUCGAGUGAAAGGAGUUCGUCUUUAAGCAGAUUCGAGUUGCUUUGGCCGACUGUCACUCGAUUGUCUUGUGACUUUAUAGGGUGGACCGUCGUCUUGUCUUUUCAUAGAAUGUACAACGGCACCAUCCCAUCAUAGAUCACACGAUAAUAAAUGUCACGGAGCUCG
rnacentral:lncRNA from 1 species